GCGUGCCUAAUACAUGCAAGUCGAGCGGACAGGAGGGAGCUUGCUCCCGGAAGUCAGCGGCGGACGGGUGAGUAACACGUGGGCAACCUGCCCGGCAGAUUGGGAUAACUCCGGGAAACCGGGGCUAAUACCGAAUAACAUUGGAAACCUCAUGGUUUCCUUUUAAAAGGCGGCUUCGGCUGUCACUGCAGGAUGGGCCCGCGGCGCAUUAGCUAGUUGGUGAGGUAACGGCUCACCAAGGCGACGAUGCGUAGCCGACCUGAGAGGGUGAUCGGCCACACUGGGACUGAGACACGGCCCAGACUCCUACGGGAGGCAGCAGUAGGGAAUCUUCCGCAAUGGACGAAAGUCUGACGGAGCAACGCCGCGUGAGUGAAGAAGGUUUUCGGAUCGUAAAACUCUGUUGUCAGGGAAGAACAAGUACGGGAGUAACUGCCCGUACCUUGACGGUACC
rnacentral:rRNA from 1 species